GUCGAGAAUCUUCCGCAAUGCGCGCAAGCGUGACGGAGCGACGCCGCGUGGGUGAUGAAGGCCUUCGGGUUGUAAAACCCUGUUAGCUGUUAUGAACGACGGGCGGUGAAUAACUGUCCCGUUUGACGUAAGCAGCAGAGGAAGCACCGGCUAACUACGUGCCAGCAGCCGCGGUAAUACGUAGGGUGCAAACGUUGUUCGGAAUCACUGGGCAUAAAGCGCGUGUAGGCGGUUUGGCAAGUCAAGUGUGAAAUCCCUCGGCCUAACCGAGGAACUGCACUUGAUACUGCUGAGCUAGAGUGCAGGAGGGGAGAGCGGAAUUCCUGGUGUAGCGGUGAAAUGCGUAGAUAUCAGGAGGAACGCCGGUGGCGAAAGCGGCUCUCUGGUCUGUUACUGACGCUGAGGCGCGAAAGCUAGGGGAGCAAACGGGAUUAGAUACCCGAGUAGUCC
rnacentral:rRNA from 1 species